GUUGGUGAACCAGCGGAGGGAUCAUUACCGAGUUUACAACUCCCAAACCCCUGUGAACAUACCAUUUGUUGCCUCGGCGGUGCCUGCUUCGGCAGCCCGCCAGAGGACCCAAACCCUUGAUUUUAUACAGUAUCUUCUGAGUAAAUGAUUAAAUAAAUCAAAACUUUCAACAACGGAUCUCUUGGUUCUG
rnacentral:misc_RNA from 1 species